ACCCAGGAAAAGUCCCACCCAGCAUUGCCAAGAAUCUAGGCACUGGAUGGCAAUUUGGAACCAGUAAUAGUUUUCCACAAGUACAUUUUUGGCAGAAGAAACAGCUAGAGAUUAGAGAGUGUAAAGAGGGCUUAAAGCUUCCAUUGACCUUCUGGGACCUCGACUGAAGCUGCUUAUGUUGCUGUGACCCCCAUUAGAUGGCCACUUUCCAAACUGUUCAGAACAUUACUUCUGGGCAUGUAGAGCUGAUAUCUCACUGCAUGGACAAAAGCCCAGGCUGGACAAGGUCCAGUUAAGAAAGCAUCUCCAUUGGAAUGAUACUAUCUGGCAAGGGACGAAUCCAGUGAUGCCAUAGGCUGUGAUAUGCACAAGGAGGAGGGCUAUGUCUUACUCAUCUUUGCAAACAUAUCUUACCAACAUGAAAUGCUUAUCUACGGAGGACUUUGCAUUUGCUGAUCAAGUGAGAAAUAAUUGAUCAAGCCCUUAAGUGUUUCCUGCUGUUGAAGACUCAGAGCUGCAGGGAGACCUUUCCAUUUUAGGUGACCUUCAAAUGAAGUUCACUAAGGGAUCAAACUUGUCUUCACCCUCCACGGGAGUUUGUUAAGGGACUAGCCUGAUGUGCCUUGUGUGGUGGACAGAUCAACAUCAUGGACAGAUCAACACCAAAUUAAGCUAUUUUCAUUACAGUGGCCCAAUUAUGUAGGAACAAAGAUGAACUUACUAUGCAAAUGUCUUUGUGCAUGUGAAAACCAAAUGAUGUUGAAUGCACCAAAGUUCCUCGGGACUUGAAAGAAAGACCGCAAGUGGGAGAUUGCAUUAUCACAGGAUAUAUGCUGGUUGGGAGCUCCAAGUUCAAAGAGGCAAGCACAAGUUCCUCUGACUGCUCUGCCAUCUUAACUCCUUCUCUAUCUGGUCCAGGAUCCAGCCCUGCGUACCACAUUGUAUUUAAUCAUCAUGGCUCUUGAGACUCCUUCAGACUGGUGCAAUUAUUCUAUCUUUUAGAAAGACCCUUUAGCUUUCAUAAUCCAAGCAAUGGAAAUUUGUAUCAUUGAUGUAAUCUAAAAAGAACUCUCUCAAAGACAAGGUUGUCAUAGAGAUUACAUCCUCCAAACAACCACUUCUCAGCUACUGCGAUCAAGAGCUGUGAUUCUGGAUUUAUCUCAUUUGAGGGUCUUGGUAAAUGCCAAAGAACAACUGAGAAAUAUUAUUCUCUCAUGGAAGUACUUUGAAUUGCCUUCCUUGGAGCACUUUACAAUCAGGAAUCCAUCAAAUUCAUGAUAGCUGAAAAAGAAAACACUAUUUGGUGCUUGAUGUUACCAGACUGCACACCACAGACUGCUGUAUGGGAAUGAUUCUUCCAUAUCCCUGAUAUUUCCUACCACUUGGAGGAAGCUCUCCUACUGUAACAUUCCUGGUCUCUCUUGCCUUCUUACCUAGUGCUCUCUAGGGGAGGAGGAGGGACUUCCUUACUGGGCUUGGAGAAAUAUAUUUUGCAAGUAUUCAAGUGCAGUUAGUUGGCCAUCAAAAUCAGUUCAUCUUUGAGACUGUGAACCUUGUAACUACAAAUGCAAUUCAUCCAGAGUUGCACAACUGAUGACAAACUUGAAUGCACUUUGUAUCAUCAGUGAGAAUUCAGACGCAGGAAGAAGGAAACUCUUUCAUUAUUAUGAAACCCUGAAGUUUAGAGAGUUGCCCGAAGUAACACAGUUACUGAUUAGCUGAGCUGGGAUUACAACCCAACUAUUCUGGUCCUAGAGUGUACCUGCCAAACGACUAUGCUCUACUCCACAGAGAAUAAGGUACUUCAAGGUAUUUUCCAAAUUCCUGAAAGGACCGGAACAGCUGUGCCUCCAGCCUUGACUUCUGGGAUAAAACCGCAGACUGGCUUGUCAAGAUGUCAAGCUCUAGUCCAGGCAGGAGUUGAGAGUUGGAAAUGAUGCCUGCCUUCGGGAUAACGGUGUCACAAGACAAGUAACUACUUCUAGACCCAGAGCGAUGCUGGGUCUACUCUAUUGCACAAGCGGAACGAGUGUCUUGCAUCCUGCCGCCUCUCUCCGUACUUAAUUCCAUUGGGAAUUCAGUUUCGCUGCCAAUCACUGCACCCAAUUGGCAGAACUUAAAUCACAUCUGGAACCCAGCUUUGCAGCCUCUGAGCCUGGAAAACACACCCGAGGAGGAUGGAAAAGAUGUUAAGCAAGCCAAUCUCAAGUAUCAUGCAAACCCUUUAAUAGAAGAAUUUCUCCUUUGCUUCAGCAUUUUCUCCCUGUUCAUGUGAAGUAUUACUUCAAGUAAAACAAAGUGAAUGCUUAUCAAACAGAAAGAGGGAAAUUUUAUGAGCGAUUGAAAUAAGAUAUUUCGUUUCCAGCUACCUUUCUUUUCAAGUGUCAGUGACAGAUAACAGAUAAAGACCCUUCAGUCUUGCUAAAAGGGACAGUUUAUAUUUUCCAUGAAGGAAAGAACAGGUGGUGGCAGUGGGGAGAAGGAUAUCACACCGAUGCACUUUAAUUUUUUUUUCUCAAAAUGGGUGGGGGAGUGAAUAUGGUUAAAUAACAAUAGAAUGUGAGCGAGUGGGAAGUGAGCUUAUCUAUUAGAUGAGAUGUAGGU